rnacentral:rRNA from 1 species
GAUGAACGCUAGCGGCAGGCUUAACACAUGCAAGUCGAGGGACGGUAGCAAUACUGGACCGGCAAACGGGUGCGGAACACGUACGCAACUUACCCAAACAGGUGAAUAGCCUUCGGAAACGAAGAUUAAUACACCGUAAGAUAUAGGAGUGGCAUCAUUUUUAUAUAAUAGCUCAGGCGGUUUGGGAUGGGCGUGCGCCUGAUUAGGUAGUUGGUGGGGUAACGGCUCACCAAGCCAACGAUCAGUAACUGGUGUGAGAGCACGACCAGUCACACGGGCACUGAGACACGGGCCCGACUCCUACGGGAGGCAGCAGUGAGGAAUUUUGGACAAUGGGGGAAACCCUGAUCCAGCAAUGCCGCGUGUGUGACGAAGGCCUUCGGGUUGUAAAGCACUUUUGGCGGGAACGAAACGGCGCUUUCUAAUACAGAGCGCUAAUGACGGUACCCGCAGAAUAAGCACCGGCUAACUACGUG